AGAGAGUCUGUCAUCUUCCAGAAAGUCGUCUACAGCUUCGUCCAUCUGACUGUUCAGGAGUUUCUGGCUGCAGUCUUCAUGUUCCACUGUUUCACCAACAGGAAGACAGACGUACUGAAGACCUUCAUCAGAUAGGAGGAGGAGGCUGA